rnacentral:rRNA from 1 species
UACGUAGGUGGCAAGCGUUGUCCGGAUUUACUGGGCGUAAAGGGCGUGCAGGCGGUUUGUUAAGUUCAGGGUGAAAGCUCCCGGCUCAACUGGGAGAGGUCCUUGGAUACUGGCAGACUUGAGGAGGGUAGAGGAGGGUGGAAUUCCCGGUGUAGUGGUGAUAUGCGUAGAUAUCGGGAGGAACACCAGUGGCGAAGGCGGCUCUCUGGGCCCUACCUGACGCUGAGACGCGAAAGCGUGGGGAGCGAACAGG